ACUUCCAAGAAUGUAGGAACUGUGUGUAAAAUAUUAAAUGUAAAUGCCAUUAAGGUCUUUGUCUAUAACUUUUCAAGCUAAGGCAGUAAGACUAGAGCUUCGCAGUCGUCGCAGAAGCAACAGAGAAAGAAUAAGAAGCUGCAUUUCGAACAAUAAUUAGGAAUAUGGGGACUCCGUAAGAGAGAGAAACGCGGGAAUUCAGCAACUGCGGGAACGGAAGACGAUGAACUGAAUAUGGCAAGAGACGAUCAACCAAAGGUGGCGGGCAAUCGGAACGCUCACGUACUUACCUGGAAUAUAACUACAUCUUUGAAAUUCGACGCUCAAAACUUUGACUUGAUCUGAGAUAGAGGAAUUCCGACACUGCUUAAAAAACGAAUGUGUCAUCAAUUUCUGUGCACUCCAGCGACACGUUGGAUUUUUAUUUAGGCAAAUUUCAAUGUACUGGUGAAAGUCAUCUGAAAAAGUUCGUUGGUUGUUCAUUGCACUAUGGACUGGAUCUCGAGAAAAAUUAACUGAAGUUGAUCCUGGAAUAUAAAAAUAUUAUUGAUUACAGUAUGACACUAUAGUGCACACGGUCUUACGUUGGCAAGAGAAUAUAUGUAAUAAAUUUACAAAACAUAAUUUAUAUAAAUUAUGCCAGGUCAAAGAAUAACAAAAAUAUAUAAUUUUCAACUAAAAGUA